AACGAUCCGUUGUCACCUUCCGCGGCUCCAGCGGAAACACCCCCAGACCCGCCGCGCCCCGCGAGGAUUCGCAUCCCGCCGGGGCCUGUUUCUGCUUCGUCCGCCCCGCCCCCCCCAGUGCCUCCCUCCGCCAGCGGCCCGGGCACCCCGCGUCUCACCCCCCCAGCCCUCGCCUCAAACCGGCUCCUGCUCGGACAGAAAGCGCUCCGCGCCCCCAGCCCGGCCGGUCACACACCGCCCCCAGCCGGUUUCCUCCAACGGAACGGACAGAAACCACAAAAUGACCAUCUUUGUCCAGCCGCUUGUUUUUCUGCAGGGCACCGGCAGGAGACGGUAGGCGGGAAGGCAGCAGGGUGCGGGACCGACCGAUUGGAACUCCUCAGCCCGGGAGCAGCGCGGAGCAAACCCCUGCCCCGUGUGUGACACUGGUGUCACUUAUUGUCGCUGUAGACCUUUGCCUACCUCAGGCACUCGGGGUAGCAUGCAGAACACAGCCCCAGCAAUCUCGGGAUCUUCACCGCAGGUAACGAUUGAGUCUCCUCAGCAAAACUUCAGGGCCUGACGUUGGACUUAAUUACAUCGAUCUAACUGCACGUUAACUCUACUGGGUGAUUUUAGAAGAAUCCUACCUGCAUUUCGAUUGAAGUCCCAAGCAAGUGCAAUGUUUCCACUCAUCAGGUAGAUAUGAUGACCAGGAAACAUGUUCUCUCUAAGAGUCUCUAAGCUUAUGGCAAUGAAUUAAGAUCAGCUGCGCGCUCUGCAUUUGGACAGAAUAAGCAAAACUGAUGCAACUGAAAUUCCUGAGGGUAACACAGCAACCCGAAUAUCCCAGAUAAAUCUCUCUCCAGUUGUACAGCUCUUGGUCUUGGGCCAAAGCCUUUGCUAUACACUACGCAGGUUGCAUUAUCUCCAUGCUAUUUUGGGUAGGCUCUCUUUAGGGAAAACCUCUGUUGCAAUCCCACAGUUUUAUCCUACUCCUCACAGGAUGAAGUCUUCUCUGGGGUAUUUCACUAAAUUCUAAAGCAGGAUCCGAUUUCUGAAAAUUUCCAGCAGCAGCAGCCUCCCGUAGAAUGCUUCAAAGAUAGAGAUAUUUCAGUCUCGUUUGUAAAUAUUGAUGUAUCUUCCUUCCACUCCAGUGACAGGGCCCUGGGCCAGGCUGCAGCUUGCUCCUGUGGUUCAGGACGAAAGCCAGUAACAGAAUUACUGCUACCUACUUGAGAAGCAAUACUUCUGUUCCGUCUGUGAGACAAGUGCCAAAUGAAGCAGAUAAGUGAUUACAGCAGAAAGAACAUUUCCCUCUGGCAGUCUGACUCCUUAAUGCCAAAGUAACAAUGCUGGUGCUAAGGUUUAAUGUGACGGUUGAGCUAAUCCCUGCUGCCUCCAGCUGACCGUUCGCCACCUUGUUGGGCUAUUUCAGCCUACUGAAGCAGCAGGGAAGUGCUCACCUUUCCAGGAGAGCGGGACUGGGAAGCGGCAGUUUGGUGCAAUGGAUCCCAAGCGCGUUUCCUCGCACACCUACACUAGUGUUACAGUUCGCACCUACUGAGAAGAGCAGCCCCAUUCACCUCCCUUCCAGAUGUGCCUUCCUGUCUCCUUGGUACAGCAUUCCUGCUUUUGGAGGGUGAACAUUCUGCAAGUUAGCAUUCUGAACCGGGUCACUGCUGGACCAGGCAAGAACCACUGCUGGCAUCGGUACAGUGGAAGGAACUCCCAGCCUGGAAGAAGAAGGAGGACAAGAUCAGGAUGGCUCCCUUUUUGCCCAAACUGCCAUUAGCUCAGCCUUAGCUGCCAAAUAAAGCCACGCUCUGACCCCAAAGGCACUUAAAAACUAGGUUCAUUAGCCCUUUUUCUUCACAGGAAAUACUGAAGUUUGUGGGGCAAACUCAGGUCUGCAGGGCCCAAGACAAUCCUGCCCUUGACAGAGCUGCACGUGACCAUUGAUUGAACUGUGUUAAACAGAGUCUUACACAGAUGCAUUUCAUGUUCUCCCCUUAAGGUAUUCAGUCUUCAUCCUCACAUUCUAUCCAGCUCUACUUCUGGGUAGGAAGCAGGGCAUUCAUACCUCUUUAGCCUAUCACCCUGGCUCCCUCGUGCUUCUCCCCAGUUUCUUUUUGUCCUCAAGUUUCUGACCAAAAAAGAACCCCCCACUUGGCUGGGUGUUCUUUGGAGAGAGACCUGUCACUUCCUGACCCACGACAUGCAGAUGCUCCGCUGCUCCAGCUGAGUCACGCUGAGCAAAAUGACGGCCAGUACCUGACAGCGUGGGUGCAGGCCUGUGAGCUGGGUAAGGUCUGUGCUAGUUAAUGCUUGCUUGGGAAAGACUUACUAAAGAACAACCACAAUAAAUGAUGCUUUAUGUGCUACUA